GAUGAACGCUGGCGGCGUGCCUAAUACAUGCAAGUCGAGCGAAUGGAUUAAGAGCUUGCUCUUAUGAAGUUAGCGGCGGACGGGUGAGUAACACGUGGGUAACCUGCCCAUAAGACUGGGAUAACUCCGGGAAACCGGGGCUAAUACCGGAUAACAUUUUGAACCGCAUGGUUCGGAAUUGAAAGGCGGCUUCGGCUGUCACUUAUGGAUGGACCCGCGUCGCAUUAGCUAGUUGGUGAGGUAACGGCUCACCAAGGCAACGAUGCGUAGCCGACCUGAGAGGGUGAUCGGCCACACUGGGACUGAGACACGGCCCAGACUCCUACGGGAGGCAGCAGUAGGGAAUCUUCCGCAAUGGACGAAAGUCUGACGGAGCAACGCCGCGUGAGUGAUGAAGGCUUUCGGGUCGUAAAACUCUGUUGUUAGGGAAGAACAAGUGCUAGUUGAAUAAGCUGGCACCUUGACGGUACCUAACCAGAAAGCCACGGCUAACCACGUGCCAGCAGCCGCCGUAA
rnacentral:rRNA from 1 species